rnacentral:tRNA from 1 species
AGAAAUUUAGGCUAACGAGACCAAAAGCCUUCAAAGCUUUAAGCGAGAGUGGAAACCUCCCAAUUUCUG